rnacentral:lncRNA from 1 species
GGGAGACUCUGGGCUGCUGCCGCGCGGCUGUGUGGGUUUCUUUACACUCGCUGGCAGGCUGGGUGCCGGAUCCCUCGCCCGCCCAGGAAAGUGGGUUACGGAGGGAAGAGGCUCAGCUCAGAUGCUGGCAAAGGAGCAUCCAGCCACAGAGACCAGAGAACACCUUCCUUUUUGCUGCCUCGUCUCCAUCCUUUCUAGAGGGUUUUAUAUUUGCACUCUCUCUUUUAAAAUUUUGUUUCUUUGACUUUUCCCCACCUCUGCUCUGGUUUUAUGAGGGCUUUGUUAAGUCUUAGACGGGAAAGAGACUGAGUGAGGGAAAGAAAGAGGCAAAGUGGAAAGGACCACAAAUUGGCAAAGCCUGUUCUGCUUUUGCUGUGGAUGAAAGUCCUCUGUUUGUAAAGCCCUCUCGGCGUGAGCAGCACGCGCACCCUCCAGAGUAGCCGGACCCUGCACCGCACCUCGGCGUGGCCACCAUGGUCGCCAGAGUUCAGCCUGAUCGGAAACAGUUGCCGCUAGUCCUACUGAGAUUGCUCUGCCUUCUUCCCACAGGACUGCCUGUUCGCAGCGUGGAUUUUAACCGAGGCACCGACAACAUCACCGUGAGGCAGGGGGACACGGCCAUCCUCAGAGAUCAGGAGCAGAGAAAGAAGACAGUGAAGCUGAAAAUUAAAACCUAUCCCAGUUUCUGGGCCACCACUUUGUAAGAAAGGUGAUUCUAAUGUACAGGCUGCUGAGGACAACUGAUUUAGUGGUUCCAUAAGCCAAGGCAGUUGAUGACUGAGAGAGAUGAAAUAAAGGAGCAUUCCUCAGAAUAAAAUGAUAAAGUGAGAGGCAACCUAUUCCUGAGUUGAGACCUGAGUAAGUAACCAGAGGAGGUGUGGAGGAUGGGCUUUCGUUCUUCUAAACACGUGACACAUCAUUUUAAAGACGAAGAUGGUAGAUUACUGUACAUUGCUGAGCAGAGACAGGCCAAAUAAUUCUCUGGUUUGACUAAUGAGUUUCUUCCCAAACAAGUGAAAUGGUUUUGUUCUUAUUUAACAAAAUCCCUUUACAUGGCUUGGUUUGAGGUUAGCAGGUUUAGCUCUCAGAUGAAGGAGGAAAGGACUAGUUAGCUUGCAGCUCCAGGCACCAACAUACUGAUGAGCCAAUUGUGACACGUAAUCAAUGUGUGAAAAGUGGGUAAUUCUCACUAAUGCCCUGCUAAUGUUUUCAGAAUGAUCUGUCAAAGGACUGAAGCUAAUUAUUGUCAUGGCAGUUUGGCCCAGGUCCACUGGAAUAAUCCUGGCAUCAGUGAACAAGAGCAUACCAUACGUUGCCAGUUUGUCACCCACUUUGAGUCUUUAUUCCUCUUUCUCCUCACAUAGAAAUCCUAUAUACCAUUUUCUAUAUUCUUUAAAAUAUGUAAUUACAUCCUUCAUUUCCCUUUCAUUUUCUUGUUUUCCAAGCUCCAUGCUUCAUCUUUUUUUUUUUCCCCCUACUUCCCUUUUCCUUUUUAUUGCAAAAAAUAUUGGAUGGUAACUCAAGAGUCCUAAAAUCUAAUCCUGGUUUUACUAUAAGAGCAAACUGUGUCAUACUCUCUGUGUCUGUUUAUAGGAAAGAAGGAGCAGAUAAGCUGUAAUAAAGGAACUAGGUAUGCAAUAGUGUCCUUUUGUUUGAAAAUAACAAAAUUCUGGAUUUACCUUGCAUGUCUGCUCUAUGUUUAGGUCCAUGGCAUCGUUUUUUUUAUCAAGUUUAUUUAUCACUACGAUGACUCAUUUCUGAACCAUGGGACAUCUAGUAAGCAGGGUACCUACUAGUAAUCAAUUGUGUAGGAAAUGGAGUUUAACCUGCUCUAGAAAUUUAAAGGCGGAGGGAAAACAUUGAGUCUUCAGGUACAAAGACAUACUCCCAGGUACAUAGCAAGGUGACACUGCCAUCUCCAAACUUUCUUGUAAGAUAGUUUUCUCUUGGAAUAAUUUUUCAUUAAUAAUCUCUUGAAUAAUAUCAUAGCAAUGCCUUGGAUCAGUAUAGCAUCUAGUGAUGGUCUCAGAUCUCUUCUCAUCUCAGUUUUAACAUCCCUGUGAAAUAGUUGGGGUGGAUAAUAAUUAUCCCUUCUUUGUUGAUGGAAAACUGGCAAAAGGAGAUUAAUAACAUUUAUAGUCAAAGUGAAUUUGCAUUAUGCAUUUUCCUUCUUAAGCAGUCUUCCCUGCAAGACUGUUCAUGUGUAUGUGUUUAUGUAUAUGUGAUGUGUUUACUUUUUUAGCAAACAGCAUAGUAAAGCGAUGCACAGUUUUUCACUUUUGAGCCAAGUUGAGAAACAGUGUAAUUUUUACUCCCAAAAGAGGCAAAAGCUGUAACAAGUAAGAAAUUUGGAGAUUAAAAAAAAAAAUUUUAAGUAUUUAAACAUUACCUUAGAGCAAAGAUCAGCAAACUUUUUCUAUAAAGGGAUAGAGAGUAAAUAUUUAGAUGUUGUAGGACACAAAUAUUAUCAGUUACAUACUCUUUUCUUAAAUUGCAACCCAACCCUUAACAAAAUUAAAAAAAUUAUUUUUAUUAUUAUUUUUUAAAUUUUUUUGUCUUUUUAGGGCCACACCCAUGGAAUAUGGACUUCCCCAGGCUAGGGGUCCAGUUGGAGCUGUAGCCACCAGCCUACACCAGAGCCACAACAAUACUGGAUCCGAGGUGCGUCUGCAACCUACACCACCACUUACGGCAAUGUUGGAUCCUUAACUCACUCAGUGAGGCCAGGGAUCAAACCUGAGUCAUCAUGGAUGCUAGUCAAGUUUGUUAACCAUUCAACCACAACAGGAACUCCUACAAAAUUUUUUUUUCUUGAAGACUUUAAAAGAAACAGGCCACAAGCCAGAUUUGGCCCUUGGGCCAUAGUUUGCCAAUCCCUGCCUUUGAGUCAUUCUCAUAUUGUGUAGUCCUAGGAGGUAGCUGCUAUUGAUAAUCCCAUUUUACAAAUGAGAAGACUGUGGAUAAUAAAGUAGAAUCAGUUACUUGUCCUACAAGUAAAGCCCGAAGUGUUCUCAGUGAAGUGUUGCUGCUACACACUAGGUAUCUCGUGGUGUGCUAAAAGGGCUCCAGGUGUAAAGAGUGUUACACAUGGGAAAGCCAGUGACUGUAGAAUGAGGAAUCGAAAAUUCCUAACCCAGAAGGAAUCCAGGGGAAACACACAGUUUGUGACAAUGAUUAGGUUUCUGUCUUUUAAUUCUGUAUUUUACCUGCACAUGAAUCCAGACUAUGAUGUUGCAUCAGGUUGUCCAUGUAUGACUGUUUUCCUUGCUUGUCAGAAUAUUUCUCCUCAACCUGGAUCCUCUCUUUAUCACAGAUCUUUUUAACUGUGCUGAUUCUUACCUAUGGUCAUGUUUUUUUUUUUUCUACUAUACUCUGACUUCCUUUAGAGGAUUCUUAAGUAUCAUUUCCAGUUGGAUAAACGUUUAUUUCCCUUCCACAUACCCACUUGAUCCAGAAAGACUUUGAUCUGAACAAUCUUCUAAUAAUAAAAAUCAUAUGCCACUUUUUUGCUUAGAAUUCAUGAUGGUCUUCCCAUAGCCUUUAACAAAUACCAUAUGAUAUCACUUACAUCUGGAAUCUAAUAUACGGCAGAAAUGAACCUUUCCACAGAAAAGAAAAUCAUGGACUUGGAGAACAGACUUGUGGUUACAAAGGAGGGAGUGGGAUGUAUUGGGAGUUUGGGGUUAAUAGAUGUGGACUCUUGCCUUUGGACUGGAUUGGCAAUGAGAUCCUGCUGUGUAGCACUGGUAACUAUGUCUAGUCACUUAUGAUGGAACAUGAUAAUGUGAGAAAAAAGAAAAUAUACAUGUAUGUGUGACUGGGUCACCAUGCUGUAUGGUAGAAAAAAUAAAUUAAAAAAAUUUGAAAGAAGGAAAAGCAAAAAAUAAAAUAAAAUCCAAAUUCCUGUCCCCGCCUACAAAAGCCACACAUGAACUGACUUUUUCUUAAUUUCCAAUAAUAUAUACUUUAUUCUCCAUGAUUCAGACCAACUGUACUCACUUGUUGAAAUGCCCAUCCCCAGAUCUCUGAGCCUGGGUCCUUCUUGUCUUUCUUACCUUCUCAAAGAGGUUGCCCUGGCCACGCACCUUAAUUACAGCAGACUGCUUGACUUCCCAGCAUGAUACUGAGAAUAGAUGAGAACAUAUCCUUGGUUAGAUCAAUUAAAAAUGAUCACCUUUGUUUAUUUAUAAUUAUCACAGCAAUUAAAUGUACAGUCAAUAAAUCCAAUUAAAUUGUUCACUGAUAGAGAUUUUUAUUUCUUUAAAAUCUUCCUGAUACAAUAACAACAUUCGGAAUGUCUGCAAACACACAAUGAUCUUCUCAGUAAGAAUGAACUCAUAUGAGGUAAGACUAUUUUUUGGUCUAAACAAUUUACUGAUGGAAAAAAGAACAGGCCAAGCAUAUGUCCUGUUACAUGUGUUACUUCUACCAUCUACACACUAUGUGACCUUGACCAAGGUAAUUUAACUUUGUCAAAUUCAAUUCAAUCAGCUGUAAAUUUAAACUGAUGCUAUUUAUCUUAUGGCCACAUCUACUAUACAGGCUAAGUGAGGUGGUCCUCUAAUUGAGGGGUUGGAGGGAGUUCCCAUGUCAACCUUAUUAUGAUGUUUACAAUUAUACCUGACAGUUAUUUAUUUCUAUAUAAUUAGUUUAAUUUUUGUCUAUACCACUAGAUUGCAAGUCUCAAGACAUCAGGGAAACUAUCUAUUUUGUAAGUCCCUGAAUCCUCAGCAUCUGAUUUAGUGCUAAACAGAAGACCCUUGAUAAAUGUUUAUCAAAUUAAUUAAUUAAGUUCUUAUAAAGAUCAAAUUUUAUUAAUUCUAAAAUCUGCUAAUAUGUAGUAUUAAACUGUUCUCUAUAGUAUUGUAACUGCUUCUCAUUCUUCUUUAUACCCACAGAAGGAACGUCAUGCCAGGGUGAGUGGGUAGUGAGAAAAUAUUUUUUGUAGAGGCUUCUGUCUAUGUCACUAUAAAAAGUCCCCUCAAAUUAGUGAGUCAGCACCAUUCUGGUUGUCUAACCUCAUAUAAUUCCUUGAAGAAAUAUUACAUUCGCCACCAGAAACAAUUUGUUAACCAGACCACUCACUUGGAACUGGGCCUGGUCAUGGGCCCCCAGGUUGAUUCUAUAGUCAUGAGUGUUGGUGUCCUUUAGGACAUUUGGUCCACCCCACACAGAGUAGAGGUUUAGAGGGCACUGUGAAAGGGAGAAACAGCCCUAGACAGAAACAGAAAUUCUCAGAAAGGCAUUCUGAAGUUUAGUUCCCCACUCCCACCCUAGCACAGGGACCAGGUUAUGCUUUCUGUGCUUUCUGGGCUCUCGGGUGGAAGAGUGAGUGUAGUUGACAUCUGGGGCAUGGUAAACUCAGAGAGAUGUGCUAAACUGAGUCCCUAAUUCUGGCUCCCAAGUAAGUAGUUAUUUUCAUGCCACUUGCAGUCUCUGUUUCCUUGUUGGUUACAGGAGACCAAUGGUGUUUUUCUAAUAAAUAAGUAUUAUAUGUGUAUCUCUGUGUUUGUGUGUUAUAGGUACCCAAUUCUUUAUGAAGAAGAAAGGGUUCUACAGAAUUUAAAUAUUAUUAGCAGUCAUGAAAAUCAUGAAACUAAAAGAAGUGAAUGGGCUAUAACUUUGAAGAAGAUAUAGGAUAGUGGCCAAUAAAUUCAAUAGGGUGGCAGUAUGUGUCUUUAAGCUGGUAGGGUAAAGAAAGAAGGAAUACAAGGUAAAGUUUGGACUUGUUUUCUUAGAAACAGUACAAGUAGAUAAGACAAAUUAUGCUGAUGGCUGUCUUAACAUACAGAGCCAAAGAGCUGGUUUUUAUUUAAUAUAUGUGGAGAGGUUAUUGAACACGGGACUGAUGGAGAAAAAUGUUUUAGAAAAAUUGAUUUGGCAUUAAGUGAUGGAUUAUAUAAAUAUUUAUAGGUGCUUAUUGACCCCACAGGGGCAUCUUUGAAAUGUGUUCUCCUUGUUUAAUUUCCUUUAAGUUUUAUUUUGGCAUCAGUAAAAAAUCUGGAGAUAGCUGAAUGUAUAAAUCAAAACAUUGCUCUUAUUAAUUAGAUGUAAGAACUGUGUUAAGAAAAAAUGCUUCAAAACAGAUUGACUGAUAGUACAGAAAUGUUCUUUCUUUGCAUAAACCCAUAGAACUAUGAACAACAAAAAUUAAACUACGGUUUUCAUGAAGUAUUUGUGCAGUUUCAAGGAUAAAACUCUAAUCCCAUUACAGUCCCUUGAUGUAAGAGUUGUUGUUACUCUAUUUUGUCUUUUGUUUUUGAAACAUCAGAUUAAGUUCUGGUGUGGCCUGCUAAAGGAAAAUAUUUUGUCAUUGUAAUAAGAAGGAAUUCUUUUUCAUUACACGUUUUAUCCAAAAUGAGAGACGCAAGAUUUUUGUUUUGGAGAAGUAGGUAAUUAGGUUCAAGAAUAGCCUAAUGUCAAUAUUUAAAAGUAAUCCGCCCAAUGGGUGUUUUACUUCAUUGUGAUUGUAUUUAUCAGAAUUCAGAGUAUUCUUUAUAAGGAAUUGAUAAGAUACAUUCAAUAGUAGCACCUCUCCAACAAUUAUGGAUUGUAGUCUAAAAAGCUGUUGACAGACAUUCUAAUUAUUCUAAAUUUCUAAAGAAUGAAUUCUGCUAUAUUAUUAGCAAAACUCACUAAAUAUUAAUGAGCUUAGUGUAGUGUUGCAGUCAGAUAAAAUUAUAAAAAGUAAAUUUAUACGUAGUAAAAAUAUGUGCAAUAGUUAUUAUUCUACAAAAAUGUAGUCAUAAAUGAUAAAGAGUUCACAUAAAUGUCUAUAUUUUGAAGCAUUUUCGUAUGAAAUGAGACUUUAGUGUGUAGAAAACUGUCCUAGGAUUUUAAUCCUGAAAACACUAGAGGAUUCAGUUACUAAAGUAAUAAUCUAGAAUGCUCUCAAAGUAAGUUGUUGGUUACAUCCAGGUUUUUUUUUUUUCAAGCUGAAUUUCAGGAUGAUGUUAUGAUCCUCAACUCUAAAAGUUAAGAAAAUGCCUUAUAGAUAUUACAAGAGAAAUCUACCAUUAAGCACUAUUAUUAUAAAUAACAAAAAUGCUUUUGAUUAAAAAAGAAAACAAAAAA